CCUGACUCCUCCCCUUCACCUAUACUGAUUGAAGUGGAUUUAACAAGGGACAUCAAUAUGGGAUCACAGCUUUCACCUGUAUUCAUCUGGUCAGUCUGUCAGGGAAAGAGCAGGUGUUCUUAAUGUUUUGUCCACUCUGUGUAUAUGAAUGGGAUUAAAUGUGCCAUAUGACCACUAGUAUCAGUAUGACGAGGUUAGUGUCAGACUGACCUGUGGUAGACAGUAUGAUGAGGUUAGUGUCAGACUGACCUGUGGUAGACAGUAUGACGAGGUUAGUGUCAGACUGACCUGUGGUAGACAGUAUGACGAGGUUAGUGUCAGACUGACCUGUGGUAGACAGUAUGACGAGGUUAGUGUCAGACUGACCUGUGGUAGACAGUAUGACGAGGUUAGUGUCAGACUGACCUGUGGUAGACAGUAUGACGAGGUUAGUGUCAGACUGACCUGUGGUAGACAGUAUGACGAGGUUAGUGUCAGACUGACCUGUGGUAGACAGUAUGACGAGGUUAGUGUCAGACUGACCUGUGGUAGACAGUAUGACGAGGUUAGUGUCAGACUGACCUGUGGUAGACAGUAUGACGAGGUUAGUGUCAGACUGACCUGUGGUAGACAGUAUGACGAGGUUAGUGUCAGACUGACCUGUGGUAGACAGUAUGACGAGGUUAGUGUCAGACUGACCUGUGGUAGACAGUAUCAGUAUGAUGAGGUUAGUGUCAGACUGACCUGUGGUAGACAGUAUCAGUAUGAUGAGGUUAGUGUCAGACUGACCUGUGGUAGACAGUAUCAGUCAUCUCACACCAGGACCGGGCCCUGUCCACAGCACAACCAUCAGAGUCUGUACACUGACAGACAGAAGGAGAGAGAGAGAGAGACAGAGGAAAUCAG